CCCAAAGGCACGUGUCGU
rnacentral:snRNA from 1 species